AUACGGAGGGUGCGAGCGUUAAUCGGAAUUACUGGGCGUAAAGCGCGCGUAGGCGGCUUUGUAAGUCGGAUGUGAAAGCCCUGGGCUCAACCUGGGAAUUGCACUCGAUACUGCAGAGCUAGAGUAUGGUAGAGGGAAGUGGAAUUUCCGGUGUAGCGGUGAAAUGCGUAGAUAUCGGAAGGAACACCGGUGGCGAAGGCGACUUCCUGGGCCAAUACUGACGCUGAGGCGCGAAAGCAUGGGGAGCAAACAGGAUUAGAAACCCCAGUAGUCC
rnacentral:rRNA from 1 species